rnacentral:rRNA from 1 species
AUGCUAAUCAAGAGGUGGUUUUGGCCUAACUGGGAUGUGCUUGAGUCCCGCAUAGCUGUGGAGGAGGAAGCUGCUGCCCUUCUUGAGUAUUUUGCAAAGAUCUUCAGUGAGAAAGAGGGCAGUGGAAGGCAGCAACCCAAUCCCAGGAGUUCCUUUGAACCCUUCAGCGUUAAUACAAUAAUGCUUACACAGAUCCUGAGAAGCAGGAUGCUAUACAUAUUCUUGGGCCAUUUCCAGUCUGAACAAGGCAAACCUCCUAUUGUGGAAGUUGGACUGAGAUCAGCAUUACAAUGUUGGCCGCCAAGGAACUCUAUGUGA